AAUAAUUUUCAAUUUUAUUUUAUUUACUUAUUGAUGCUGUGUUUAUUUGUCAUUUAUAUGAUAUACAGUAUUAUAUGUAUGUGUACUUUGCCUGACCAUUUAUCUUCUUAUGUUCUAAAUUUAAAAUUAAUAUACGUAGUUUAGUGGCAUCAUUUAUCAUGUAUUGUGCAUCUGUAUGUUUUUAGUUCUACAUCUUUGCUUGUAUUCAGAUGUCUUUGUUGCUAUGUUUUUUAUUGAUCAUAAUAUGUAUGAACUAAAUUGUACACCACAGUAGUGAUAUGUGUGUUAUGUUUAUAUCUGUACUCUACGCAUAUGAAUUUGUAUUUAUAAAUGUUAUGUCUCAUGUGCAUUUUAUAAUUAUUGUGAUCAUAUACAUAUUUGGGUGUUAAUGUUGUAAUCAUUGUUUAUUUUGUUUAUUCUCUGUUUUUGUGACUUGUUAAAUUUUGUUUUACAUGGUCUUAUGGUUAUUUGAUAUGGUAGUCUUUAUUUGUGUACAUGCGUUGUGUUAAUAAUUACUCAUGCUCUGUUUGGUUCAGUAUAUUAUUAUAUUUCUUUUUCGUAAUUUGUUGCAAUGUUGGACCUGUGAAAUUGGAUCGAAUGGAGGUAAUUGAGAUUGGGCACUCUGCCCAAUGUACACGUUAUCAGUCUUGUUAAUGUACACAAUGUUUAUUGACAAUGAUGUACCAUGUAUAGAAUUGGUUCCUAUCAUGUUUCAUUUACAUACUAUUUUUCUCUCUCCAAAUAUCAAUCAUAAUUGAGAAAUUAUGAUGCAGGUUAUUUACUGCACAAGUUUGAGCUGGAGUGCUGAUGGAAGCACCUUGUUCAGCGGAUACACAGAUGGUGUUGUCAGGGUCUGGGGCAUCGGACGUUACUAGAUGAGCAUAUGUAGCGAGCAAUUACCAGAUUUACUCUCUCAAUUAUCUUUUGAAUCAAUCUAGGAUGUGUAGACUGAAAGUUGAUCUCUAUCUAGUCUACUUAUUUGUGUUUUCAUCUGUUUUCAGUUUUGGAUAAUUCUAUGGUGUAUGGUUUUUCGACUAUUACAGUACUUGGUUGUUUUGCCUAUACCUCCUCUUUUGCAAAAGCCUUAUGAUUUAUACUAUUGGUUGGUUAAGUAUAUUCUUCUACUUUUAUGCAAAUUUUUGCACCGUGGAGUUCUUGUACAAGGGUACCAGAGAUGAAGAUAAACCUUUGGUUUGUUUUCGGAUGAAUGAAAUAGUUCAACUCCAUAGGAGUAUAUAACUAUUGUGAAUAACUUUGCUUAAAUGUUUGUGAGUCUCAUAUGUGAAGAGGAUAAAUAAGUGUCCGGUGAUAAUCACCUGUUAUGUCUAUCUAUUUUUUCUGUUCCCCUGGCUUGUACUCUUGGCUGUCUGAUUUUCUUUUCAGAAAAAUCAGGAGCUUAUGAUAUUGAAAAUUAAGUGUUCAGCUUGUCUUUGCUGGGCAAUGUAUGCAAUAAGAUAAAUUUCUCACGGCCCUUGAACAGAUGUAGUUGCGAGUGUCAUGGAAUUUUUAGUUUGGCUCAAGAGACCAAGUGGUGAAUACUCUCUCCUCAUUCUAACUACAUGAACUAGAAGAGAAGAAACCUUCUGCAUAAUUUUCCCUGCAGAGAGAACAAAUACUUGGCUUUUUUCAAACAUACAAGCUAAUAAAAUCAGUCUCAUGGAGUGAUUUGCUUCCUUGGUUGCAAGAUGCAAGAGUACACAAACCAGGACUACACAACUGAAUUGGAAGAUCAUGAUUUGGUGUAGAUGUCAUGUUAGCAAAUUAACUCCAGCACCAAAUCAUCUUCCUUAUUACCACAGAUAUUAUAAUCUGAAGAAGCAUUUGCCAAAAAAUCAGAGACCUUUGGAAUAGAAGAUGAGCUAAAGAUACAUAAAAGUGUUGUGCACCAGCAGCCAAAGAUACAAAUCCAAUUCCAAGUGGAGGAGUCUCGGAAGAAUAUUUUUACCCCAAUAGUGCACUAGAAACAGCUGUUUCCAAAACGAGAUUACUAAUUUCUGGAUUAUAAAACAGGCUACUCUGUUCUGACCAUAAACUUAUGCUACUUUUUCGAACUAUAUCCCAGCAAUCAAUUGAUCCCAAAUUAUUAUCAUAGUAGUAAGAUACUCUUAUAGCACAAAUAUGACGAGUACUAACAGCAAUAGGGUAAUAAGUUGUAGAUUGAAAGACUUGAGGUCAGAGGCGUCUUCAGGGGGAGUCUCCCCAGUUAUUUGCCUAGGGCCUUCAUCGAUAUAAGGGGCCUCCAAUAUAUAUACAUAUACGUAGUAUUAAUAUUUAUAAUUAUUAGUUAUCAAUUAUAUUCAAUAAAAUUAUUAAUAAUAUCUAUUCUUCUCCCCUAUACACCAGUUUAGGAAUAUGGACAGUCCUUUAACUUUAGACCCAUGUAAUAGAAUAAAAAAUAGAUAAAACCCCAAUAAAUUAUAACUUCUUACCUUUAACUUGAACUAUUUUUAUGCUUUGUUUCUUAGUUAAGAAUUAUAUUUACUACUGCAAAUUUUUCAUGCGAUUUUAGUUCAUCAAAUUUUAGAUUUUGGUUCAAAAAUCCUAAGGCCUCCGAAAUGCUGGAGACGGCCCUGCCUGAGGAACAAGAUUAUUAGUAAUCAAACUACAACUGUAUGCUAGUGGAGUAUCAGCUCAUAUUCAACAUAAGAACCAUUGUCACCCCCGACCCCACCAAAAAAAAAAUCAAACAGAGGUUGGGAAUUCUCUACUAUAGUCGGGGACCGGUCCCAUGUUCUUCAACUAAACAGAGGUUGGAAAUUCCGUAUGAUGGUUUGGGACCGGUCCCCGAGCGUCAGAAAGUCAGUGAGAUUUGAACCAAUGUUCUUUAGAUCAUAGCAAUACCGAGCAACUCUCCACUUUGCUAUAAGGUUAUUCAAUAUCAUCUUUACAGAUUUUUAAUGUAAACAUUUAUUUUUAAGAUUGAUAUGAAUGAUACAUUUGAUUGUUUAUUUUUAUAGGCUUUGUUCAUGAUGAUUUAUGAUAAAACAGGGUCAUAUGGACAAAUUCUAUGUUAUAAUUGUGAGUUGCGCUAAAUUAUACAAAAAUAUGUCAUUUUCAGAACAUAUAUUUGUGAGUAAUUUUGAUAGUUAAUGUUUUUGAUUAACGAUAUAAAUUGUUGUUUAUGAGAAUUUCGUAUUUAUGACGAAUGAUAUUUUUUUUAUAUUUAUGUGAAUUUGAGUUUGUAUAUUAUAAAUAUAUAAAAGCUGACAUGUCUAGUAUAAAUAUGAUCAUUUUUUUGUUAACAAGUUUUUUUUUCAUGUAUAAAUUAAGUUAAUAAUAACAUUAGUGAUAUGGAAAUAAUAUUUUAUAUAUUCUUUAUAUAAAUAUUUUAUAAAAGUUAUUACACUAAAUUAGAGAAUAGAUAACUCUUGUCGUAUAGUUGUUAUCUAUAGAUAUUAUAAUUAUAUACCACACAUGAUUAGUUAAAAUUCGAAUAUUUUAUCAUAUUUAUAUUUAAUUGAACAUAUUUGAUGACAAAUUCAAUUUUUAUAAGGAGAUUCCUUAUGCUGUAUUUAUCAACAUUUUUAUCAAUAUAUACGUAAAAAAGAGUUAAUAUAAUAAAUUAAUAUAAUAUAAUUUCAAAUCAAUUUCACACAAUAUAUAUCAUCAAAUAUAAAUAAAUCUAUUACAAACAUUUUUGUAAUUUAUUUAUCAAUUAAAAAUUUAAUUUCCAGUUACUACUAAGAUAUAUCAUAGUAGUUUAGAAAAAAAUGUCAUUCAUAAUAAAUAUAUUAUCCAGUUAAAAUAUUAUAUUUUAAUAUACUAGAAAUCAAAAUGAAAUUAUAAUUGUGGAAGAGGGAGUAACCAGAAAAAGCAAAAAUACAACGGCAAAAUACUAAAUAUAUAGUAUUACACGCUCUUGUUCGUAUUCUGGGCGAAUCAGAGGUCAAAAAACGAAAAAUUGGUUUUGUUCUUAUCUUCGUAUUCUCGGCGAGCGAAUCAUCCCUCUUCUUCUGUCUUCGAUUUUAAGUUGUAAGUUCUUACUCCAUCUCUUCAUUCCAUUGAAUUUAUGGAUCUGUAAUCGUAUUAGGGUAUUAUAUGAUAUAACUUAGGUUUUUUGAUCUGGGCUAAAUUGAGAACAUGAUCCUAUCUGAAUAGUCUCAUAUGUUUCUUUCUCGAUUCUUGAUUUAAUUUGUAGCCAUACCCAUAUGGUGGUUUUUGUAGUAAAUGUUUUUUAUUUAUUUAUGUGAAUAUUUAUGUGGUAUCUCACUGUUUUGAUGGCUUUGAGUCUUUUUUGUGUAGUUUUGAAUUGUUUAGCUGUUCUUGUUUUGUUAUGCUUGGAUAUGUAUGUUACCACUCUUCACAUGGAUAGGCUUCAAGUUGUCAUGUUCUUCACAAUUAGGUUUGUAAAUUAAGCUACUAACAUCAAGGGGUGGCAAUUUCGGGUAAUGGGUCGUUCCUGUCGGAAAUCGGGUCGAUUUCGGCUCAAGUUAAAAUCACUUAAAGUUGAAUAAAACUGAAAAUUGAAGUUAAUAGAAAUAAAAUUCUGAUUUCGGGUCAUUUCGGAUCCAUUUCGGGUCAAUCGGGUGAUUUUCGGGUCACUUUCGGGUUUUGUUUCAAUAAAUCGGGUUGCGGGUUGGGUCAUGUUCGGGUCGGGUUUCGGGAUUUGUCUCAGUAACAUGAAAUGAAAGUGCAGAAAAAAUAAAAGCAGGAAGAAAUGAUAAAUUUUUUAUUUUCGCUCUCAUUGAUAAUCAUAUACUAAAGAAGAAAAUACAUUAUAUAGGAAGUAACACUCCAGAAACUACAUUAUUGGCCAAUCCAAAACAUAUAACCCAACACUAUGCUUGACCCACAUAUAAUAUCUGGCCCAACAGUAUUUUUAGUUCAAAUCGUGACAAAAGUGUUGGUCUAUGACAGUUAUAUGCAAAUUUUACAUGUUUUUGGCGUGAAAUAAGCGUUUGGUACUCGAGGCAAGCCGAAGAGUCGGGGUAAAUUACAUGUGUUUAAUUGUCUUUAACAUGCGAAACUUGGGGAUUUGGUGUGUAUACACUAAAACAUAAAUAAGUGCUUGUGGUAUUUGCUGUAUAUGUGUGGGCACUUGUGUAAAUUUGUUUCUGGAUAAAAUGAAUUCAUUGAAAUUUCAUGAAAUCAUCCUAUAAGUGCCGCUCUGUCUAUAUCUGGCCAAUAUUUUCUUGCCAUGCUUGAUUAUUUCAUUAUGUUCAAUUAUCACUGACCCAGCCUGAAACCAUCUUUUAGUUUAUUUGAAUAUGUUAAUUUUAUUAUACCCAAGAUUAGUUGUGCAAUAUUGCUUAUCAUGUACCUGUAUUUAUAUGUUUAAGUAAAAUGAAAAAAAUGUUGGCUGAUCGGGCCCCCAUAAGAACUCCCUACUGUAUCUCCAACAUAUUGCAAUUUAUGGAGCUAUACUUUUUGGGGCCUAACAAUCCGUGCCGAACGCUCCUUCCCCAAUGUAAAGAAUCUAGGGGGACGGAGGGAGUAUCUUUUUUGUGGAAUCAUGAACCAAUGCUCUGUUUGGUUAUAAGGAAUGGAAUGAAAACUUGUAUAUAAAAUUGUAGGGAAGAAAUAAUGUAAGAGUGAAGACUUUAAAAAAUAAAUACAAAUUUUCAUGAUGAGGGAUGUCAAGAAAAUGAAUAGAAUCAAGAAUCAGGCAUUUUACCGAAGUUUGUGGAGACUAGGCCAUGGUAUAAGUUGGUUUGAGUGGAAUGGAGGAAAGAAUUAAUUUUCCAAUAUUCACCCAUAGAAUAGAACACAUUUAAUUACAUUUCCACCUUAUUUCGUUGCUUCCAACCAAAUGGAGCGUAGUUUUACAUUUUCGGAAUAUUUUAUGACUAAUUUCGUAGAAUACUGACUACCACCUUGAUGUGCAGGCUUACAAUUUUCUCAAGAUGCCAGCUACAGCAGGCAGGGUUCGAAUGCCCGCAAACAACAGGGUACACAGUAGUGCUGCCCUUCAAACACACGGUAUUUGGCAGAGUGCUAUAGGGUAUGACCCCUAUGCACCAAAUAAAGAAGAUAACAAAAAGUCUUCUCAGCCUAAAGCUUCUGAUGCUGCUGCUGCUGAACCUGCGGGUGAAAAUGCUUAUGCAAGCUUCCAGGGUUUGCUUGCACUUGCUCGUGUAACUAGCAAUAAUGUAGAUGAGUCUCGUGGAGCAUGUAAGAAGUGUGGACGUGUGGGUCAUCUUACAUUUCAGUGUAGAAAUUUCUUGAGUAUUAAGGAUGAAAGUAAUGAUAAAGACUCCGAGGCAAUUCACGCGGCAGUUAUUUCUGGUCUGGAGAAAAUAAAAGGCAGCGGCAAAAAAUUAUUUGGUAAAACUGGGGUAGAGGAUUCCAAUGAGGAUUCUGACGAUGAGAGCGAGAGUUCGGAUUCUGACUAUGACUCUGAAAUAGAGAGGGCAAUUGCUCAGAGCAAAAAGUUUGGGAAGAAGAUUGUUGAUAAAGUGAAGUCUUCUAGAAAGAAAAAUGAUGAUUCUGAUGAUGACGAAUCUGAUUAUGAAAGGAGAAAGAAUAAGGUUGGAUCAAAGAGGAGCAGCAGUAAAAGGAUUUACCGUGAUUCUGAUGAAGAUGUUAAGGAUAAUCUGAAGAGGAGAGAGAAGAGGAGGAGAGAUGAAUCGUCUGAUGAGGAUGAUGAUAAUCAACGACAACGUAGAAAGAGUAAGAAGGAAAAGAGGAGGAGAGGGCGAAGUCACACGUCUGAUGAUGAUGAUGAUAAUCAACGACAACGUAGAAAGAGUAAGAAGGAAAAGAGGAGAAGGCGAAGUCACAAGCAUUCAGAUGAUUCAGAUGGAUCUGAGGAACACACUAGAAUGCGUAAGCGGAGGAGCAGGAGAGAAAGAUCCGUUUCUAGUCCUGACGUUAGCAGCUCAGAUGAUUCUGAUUUAGGAGGUAGAAUCGGCAAAAAACAAUCUGGGAAGAGGAGCAGGAAGCACAGCCACAAACGAGAUUAGUUAUUCUCCAGGGGUGAGAAAUUAGACACUAAAUUCCUAUUGUUGUGCUUUUCUGUAAUCUGUUACUGUUAAUUAAAAUUUUGACCGGGUUUUAUGAUAUUGCUUGAUUUGUAUAACCUGCGUUUCAAAUCUUCUACUUGGCUCUAUCUUCCCCUUCUUUGGAGUGAUCUGCUGUUAGUCAGCUGGGAUUUUUCACUGUAUGCAAUAUUGCCAUUAUGAUGUCAUCUAUGCAUGAACUGGUUAUGCGAAGUAUAUUAAUUAUUGUCUUGUUAUUUUUAUUUUAAUUGAAAGGCCCUUUUACAUCUUUGCUUGUAUUCAGAUGUCUUUGUUGCUCUGUUUUUUAUUGAUCAUAAUAUGUAUGUGCUAAACUGUACACCACAGUAGUGAUAUGUGUGUUAUGUUUAUAUCUGUACUCUACGCAUAUGAAUUUAUAUUUAUAAAUGUUAAGUUUCAUGUGCAUUUUCUAAUUAUUGUGAUCAUAUACAUAUUUGGGUGUUAAUGUUGUAAUCAUUGUUUAUUUUGGCUAUUCUCUGUUUUUGUGACUUGUUAAAUUCUGUGUUACAUGGUCGUAUGGUUUUUUGAUAUGGUAGUCUAAUAGUCUUCAUUUGUGUACAUGCGUUGUGUUAAUAAUUACUCAUGCUCUGUUGCGUUCAAUAUAUUAUUAUGUUUCUUUUUCGUAAUUUGUUGCAAUGUUGGACCUGUGAAAUUGGAUUUGAAUGGAGGGAAUCGAGAUUGGGCAGUCUGCCCUUCUGAUUUGUCUCUUCUGUCAAAUAGUGUCUGCCUUAACCUUUCCUUGCCCAAUGUACGCAUUAUCAGUCUUGUUUAGGGCUGAGCACCGGUCCGGGAGAUUCCCGUACUGUACCAAAUAACCGAAUCGAAAGUUCCGAAAAAUUGAAAUCCGGUUGACUUCUGACUAUAUCUGUAUUGAACUGUACCGAAUUUUAAAAUCUGGGAUGGUUCUGGUUUAUAUAUAAGAACUGUACCGAGAAUUGUACCGAACUGUAUUGAACUGUACCGAACCGAAUAACUGAAAAUUAUAUAUUAUGACAUAGUUUGAUAUACAUACUGUUUUCUUUUUAUUUUUGUGUUUAAUAACUAAUAUCAAAUUUCACAAAUAUGACGUAAUAGCACAAUAUUUGUGAUUUUAAUCACUUUUGUGAUAUAAUAUAUAUCAUGCAAUUGAAAUUCAUAUAUCAAUGAACUAAUUGAAAAUCAUAUCACUUUUUUUAUUAUUUGUUUUGCUUGAACUAAUUUUCUAUUUUGCUUCUUUAUUUACCAGGUAUAACUUGAAAAUUUAUUGUAUAGAUUUAUCACUUUUUAUAUAUUUUAUUUUUUUAUGUAUUUUAUUAAGAGUACUGAAUAUCUGAAACCGUCCCAUCUUGUCCCGAAAAUUUGGAACAAUACAAUACGGAUAUAUAUAAUAAUGGUACAAUUUUGGUUCUCAACAUUUUGAAUAUCCGAAAAUUGGGAUGGUUCUGGAGAUCUCGGGAACCCCGGCUUUACCCGUACCGUACUCACCCUUAGUCUUGUUAAUGUACAUCAUGUUUUAUGACAAUGAUGUACCAUGUAUAGAAUUGGUUCCAUCCAUGUUUCAUUUACAUAUUCUUUGUCUCUCUUUUUCUCUUAACUAUAAUUGAUAAAUUAUGAUGCAGGUUAUUUACUGCACAAGUUUGAGCUGGAGUGCUGAUGGAAGCACCUUGUUCAGUGGAUACACAGAUGGUGUUGUCAGGGUCUGGGGCAUUGGACGUUACUAGAUGAGCAUAUGUAGUGAGCAGUUACCAGUUUUACUCAAUUAUCUUUAUAAUCAAUCUAGGACGUGUGGACUGAAAGUUGAUCUCUAUCUAGUCUACUUAUUUGUGUUUUCAUCUGUUUUCAGUUUUGGAUAAUUUUAUGGUGUAUGGUUUUUCGACUUUUACAGUACUUUUGUUUUACCCUUAUGAUUUAUACUAUUGGUUGGUUAAGUUUAUUAUUAUUUUAUUUUUAUUAUGCAAAUUUUCACACCACUGGAGUCCUUGUACAAGGGUAAUAGAUAUGAAGGUAAAGCUUUGGUUUGUUUUUGCAUUGAUGAAAUAGUUCAACUCUGCAGGAGUAUACAACUAUUGUGAAUAAAUUUGCGGAUAGAUUUCUG
rnacentral:lncRNA from 1 species